AAAUUGAAGAGUUUGAUCAUGGCUCAGAUUGAACGCUGGCGGCAGGCCUAACACAUGCAAGUCGAACGGUAACAGGAAGCAGCUUGCUGCUUUGCUGACGAGUGGCGGACGGGUGAGUAAUGUCUGGGAAACUGCCUGAUGGAGGGGGAUAACUACUGGAAACGGUAGCUAAUACCGCAUAAUGUCGCAAGACCAAAGAGGGGGACCUUCGGGCCUCUUGCCAUCGGAUGUGCCCAGAUGGGAUUAGCUAGUAGGUGGGGUAACGGCUCACCUAGGCGACGAUCCCUAGCUGGUCUGAGAGGAUGACCAGCCACACUGGAACUGAGACACGGUCCAGACUCCUACGGGAGGCAGCAGUGGGGAAUAUUGCACAAUGGGCGCAAGCCUGAUGCAGCCAUGCCGCGUGUAUGAAGAAGGCCUUCGGGUUGUAAAGUACUUUCAGCGGGGAGGAAGGCGAUAAGGUUAAUAACCUUGUCGAUUGACGUUACCCGCAGAAGAAGCACCGGCUAACUCCGUGCCAGCAGCCGCGGUAAUACGGAGGGUGCAAGCGUUAAUCGGAAUUACUGGGCGUAAAGCGCACGCAGGCGGUCUGUCAAGUCGGAUGUGAAAUCCCCGGGCUCAACCUGGGAACUGCAUUCGAAACUGGCAGGCUAGAGUCUUGUAGAGGGGGGUAGAAUUCCAGGUGUAGCGGUGAAAUGCGUAGAGAUCUGGAGGAAUACCGGUGGCGAAGGCGGCCCCCUGGACAAAGACUGACGCUCAGGUGCGAAAGCGUGGGGAGCAAACAGGAUUAGAUACCCUGGUAGUCCACGCCGUAAACGAUGUCGACUUGGAGGUUGUGCCCUUGAGGCGUGGCUUCCGGAGCUAACGCGUUAAGUCGACCGCCUGGGGAGUACGGCCGCAAGGUUAAAACUCAAAUGAAUUGACGGGGGCCCGCACAAGCGGUGGAGCAUGUGGUUUAAUUCGAUGCAACGCGAAGAACCUUACCUACUCUUGACAUCCAGAGAACUUAGCAGAGAUGCUUUGGUGCCUUCGGGAACUCUGAGACAGGUGCUGCAUGGCUGUCGUCAGCUCGUGUUGUGAAAUGUUGGGUUAAGUCCCGCAACGAGCGCAACCCUUAUCCUUUGUUGCCAGCGGUCCGGCCGGGAACUCAAAGGAGACUGCCAGUGAUAAACUGGAGGAAGGUGGGGAUGACGUCAAGUCAUCAUGGCCCUUACGAGUAGGGCUACACACGUGCUACAAUGGCGCAUACAAAGAGAAGCGACCUCGCGAGAGCAAGCGGACCUCAUAAAGUGCGUCGUAGUCCGGAUUGGAGUCUGCAACUCGACUCCAUGAAGUCGGAAUCGCUAGUAAUCGUGGAUCAGAAUGCCACGGUGAAUACGUUCCCGGGCCUUGUACACACCGCCCGUCACACCAUGGGAGUGGGUUGCAAAAGAAGUAGGUAGCUUAACCUUCGGGAGGGCGCUUACCACUUUGUGAUUCAUGACUGGGGUGAAGUCGUAACAAGGUAACCGUAGGGGAACCUGCGGUUGGAUCACCUCCUUACCUUAAAGAA
rnacentral:rRNA from 1 species